rnacentral:ncRNA from 2 species
CGCUCAUCCAGAGAGGUGGAGGGACCGGCCCGACGAUACCUCGGCAACCGCUGCAAAAUCAGCUGGUGCCAAUUCCGGCAGAUCGCCCGCACUAACGGGGAUUCUGGCAGAUGAGAG